rnacentral:rRNA from 1 species
AUUGAACGCUGGCGGCAUGCUUUACACAUGCAAGUCGAACGGCAGCGCGGGGCAACCUGGCGGCGAGUGGCGAACGGGUGAGUAAUAUAUCGGAACGUACCCAGAAGUGGGGGAUAACGUAGCGAAAGUUACGCUAAUACCGCAUACGAUCUACGGAUGAAAGUGGGGGACCUUCGGGCCUCAUGCUUUUGGAGCGGCCGAUAUCUGAUUAGCUAGUAGGUAGGGUAAAGGCCUACCUAGGCGACGAUCAGUAGCUGGUCUGAGAGGACGACCAGCCACACUGGAACUGAGACACGGUCCGGACUCCUACGGGAGGCAGCAGUGGGGAAUUUUGGACAAUGGGCGCAAGCCUGAUCCAGCAAUGCCGCGUGAGUGAAGAAGGCCUUCGGGUUGUAAAGCUCUUUUGUCAGGGAAGAAACGGUUGGGGCUAGUUGACUGGACGUUACCCACAGAAGAAGCACCGGCUAACUCCGUGCCAGCCGCCGCCGAAA